rnacentral:rRNA from 1 species
AGAACGAACGCUGGCGGCAUGCCUAACACAUGCAAGUCGAACGAGACCCCAACUUCGGUUGGACGUCUAGUGGCGCACGGGUGCGUAACGCGUGGGAAUCUGCCCUUCGGUUCGGAAUAACUCGGAGAAAUCCGUGCUAAUACCGGAUAAUGACGUAAGUCCAAAGAUUUAUCGCCGAGGGAUGAGCCCGCGUAGGAUUAGCUUGUUGGUGAGGUAAAGGCUCACCAAGGCGACGAUCCUUAGCUGGUCUGAGAGGAUGAUCAGCCACACUGGAACUGAGACACGGCCCAGACUCCUACGGGAGGCAGCAGUGGGGAAUAUUGGACAAUGGGCGAAAGCCUGAUCCAGCAAUGCCGCGUGAGUGAUGAAGGCCUUAGGGUUGUAAAGCUCUUUUACCCGGGAUGAUAAUGACAGUACCGGAGAAUAAGCUCCGGCUAACUCCGUGCCAGCAGCCGC